CCGUUUGGCAAUGAACUUCUUUAUCAAUCUUUCAUGCAACAAUCACUAGAGAAAUUCCCAAUUCCCACAAGAGCUCCAACAUCAGACGACUAGGUAAUGGAAGAAAGCAUGCCAACGAGUUUGGUAGGCAAUGGUUGUGUUGAUAUUCGAGGCAGAACUGCAGACAAGCGAACUACUGGAGGAUCGAAAGCUGCUCCUUUUAUUAUAGUGAAUGAAGUUGCUGAGAGGCUAGCAUUUUUUGCUAUAGCUGUGAACUGUUAGGUU